AGAAUUGAUUUCCCCUCUUACCACUCCGCUCCCCAUCCCCUCAGUGCCUCCACUCCCCCAUUCAGAGGAGGGGUUCCCCACCUGUGAUUCCAAGGAAGGAACCCUUAGGGUCUUGCUCGGUUACAAAAUGAGGUGCAAGGGCUGCUUUGUGGCUUCUGGACUGGGUUAGAAAAGGCCAUUCGACUAAUGCUGGGGACACGAGGGACUCUGGGUUGCCAGGUUCCCCGGACCUGGCUCCAAAUCUUAACUCCACUGCUUACAGCUAUGUGACCACGGACAAAUCACCCCACCACUCUGAGCCAUAGUUUUCUCACGCAUAAAAUGGAGAUACGAACGCUGAAUUCCGAAGUUCCAGGAGGAGCACAGAAGAGAACAUGUGAAAUCAAGUAGCACCGUGCUUACCAUGCAGCAGGCCUGCAGAAGCGCGUGUGGAAUCUGACUCUGAUUGUACCUGACGUUGCAAGAAUGAAACAGAGAAAUUCUCGAAGAAUCAGCUGGGAGGCUCGUUGUAAGGUUCACAUUCAGAGGCUCAACUCUGAACCCCUGAAUCAGAACUACCCGGCACAGAGCUGACAAUGCACAUUUCAACAAGCUCUGAGAGAGGUGAUUAGCACGCUAAACUUUGGAGCCUAAAGUUUGAGAAUCACACCCCCUGCUUGGGGAAAUUAGCACUCUUUGCACACUUGCUUGAUUUAAACUGUGGACCCCUCCAGGUCCACAGCUCCUUCUGUCUGGACAGAAACACGAAUGCUCUCUCUCCUUCUUGACCUAGAGAGGCACAUUCGUUCCCACAACAGCCUUCACUCAAGGGCAUUUUGUAAUUUCCUGUUUUCCACAAAAGUCACGACACAGCCGGCUGUCAGCACGACCUGUAGCCAAAGCUUUGCUGUCCGGGCUGACGUGGCCUCAAUCUCCGUUGCACCAGCGCUGGAAAAUCACAGAAGGACAAACAGCGGAGGCUGUAUCUGGAAAGAAACCUGUGCUUCUAGGUCUAAGGCAAUUGUGUCUUUGACCGUUACUUUUUUACCACAAAAGUCCAAUUUCAAUCUAUUGCUCCAAUUUCAAUCUAUAUGUUCAUCUUUGAUCUGUCUUGUGGUAUUUUUUUCACCUUUAUACAGAGUAAACUUUGAAAUUAUCUCAGUUUGCUUCUUUGGAGGAGAAAGAUUUUAUAAGCUUAAUAGCUGAGUCCUUUGGAUUCAGAGCAAGGAAGGUUUACCAUUUAUUUUUAAAGGUGUUUGCUCUGAAAAAAUUUUUUUUCUGAUUAUUCAAGUUAUAGAUAUACUUUGUAGAAGUUUGGGGAAAUACCGAAAAAUAAAAAAAGGAGGAAAUAACAACUACCUACGAUCCCCAGCACAUCACUAUCACUUUGGUAGUUCCUCCUGUACAUACCUUUUCCCCCAUAUACACAUACGUUUUUGGUGUUAUUUCUCAUUUGCUUGUUUACAUAACUGGAAUUUGUGAGCAUAAAACCAAUGACUUGUGUCAAGAACAGAGGAUGCUGUAGGGCUCGGGGUGGCCCUGGGGCAGGGCUCACUCUUGGAGAGUGAGUUUGAUGAGGACUUUGGACGAUGGGCAGGAUUUGAGCAGCACAGGUAGGCAGGGUGGCAUUUCAGGCAGCGAGAGUGGUGGCAGAAAGAAAUAGGGGCAGCAGGGACAGAGCCUCAGGGUGGUUUUGAAACAUGUCCACAAAUUCUUUGACACUCAUUCCACCAAGAGGUGGAGCCCGCGCCACCCCCCCUUGAGCCCAGGUGGGCCUUCGUGGCUGCCUCAGUGAAUAAAAUUGUUAACACAAAUUUGUGUGCCCGAGGCACAGUGAGGAUGCACAGUGAGGCCAAACAAACUGAAACAUCGGAGUUUGGAGCAGAGAAAGGUUUAUUGCAAGGGGACGGGUGGCUCAUGCCCUGAAAAGCCUCUAGCUCCCCAAAGGGUUUUGGCAAAGCCUUUUUAAAAGCCAGGUGAGGGAGGGCAUCGCAGAGUUCACUGAUGGGCUGAUGUUGAGGGAACAGGGUAGUGUCACAGGGGUUAACUCUGUCAGUCCUUAGGCUCCGGGACCCCUGGGGCAAUGUGCUCAUGACCAUCAAGUCGUUAACAUCUUCCAUUUGAUGGGGGGUUUUCACAUCUGCAAAACAACUCCGGAAAUUUGCAUCAAAUACUGUUACCUAGGUACUUCAGAGAGGAGCUAAAGCAGAGGAUAUAGGGGGAAGGAAGGCCCCACAGGGUCCUGCUCGGUUACAAAAUGUGGUGCAGGGGAUGCUUUGUGGCUUCUGGACUGGGUUAGAAAAGGCCAUUCGACUAAUGCUGGCCUCUCUUGGGACACUUGCUCUGUGACCCUUGAGCUGCCCGAGGUCGCCACGUGGAGAGACCACGUCACUGAGGGCAAUGCCCGAGGAGCCUGCCUGCUCCAGCCCCCGCUAUGAGUCUUCCCAGCCUAGACGUGAGACCCUCGAGCGACGGAGCCUUCCAGAGGACCCCAGCCCCACCCAGCACCCGACCUUAACUGAACGUCAGAACUCCGAGCAAGAACUACCCAGCUGAGCCCAGUCAGCCUCCAGCUUCAUCAGCAAUACAAAUGACUGUUAUUUGUUUAUGAAUAAAUAACCAGAAUAAGUCUCUUCAGGGACCGUGUUUAUUCCAGUCUUGAGGCAAACACACGAUUGCCAAGGGCAACACGAGGAUGUCUGGGGUCAGAGCCUGGAGGCCCUUGAUGCCCAAGGCCUGAUUUCCCCAAACUGCUCAGCUACAAGUCAUCGCCUGCAGAGGGAUAGAGUAACGGCAUCUGGUGUUUGCACCAUCCUCUCUACAUGUGGGCACUAUGCUUAGUGCCUUCUGUGACGUCACUCCUCUCAUCCUUAUCUUGACUCUAUAAGGUUGCUGCUGUAACCAUCACCCUAUUUUACCCGUGAGGAGACUGGGGCGCCAAGAGAUUAAAUAAUUGACCCGAGGCGCAUUGCCAGGAAAUGGGAUCGGGGCUGAGAUUCAAAACCCAGGGACUGGCUUCAGUUCCUAGUCUCAACCUUUAUACUCUCUCCCUGUCCAGGGAGUGCUGGAAUACAGACGAGAUUGUAUAUCUGAAGGCGUAGGUACUUAACGUACCAGGGGCUGAACUGACCUUCUCUGCGGGAAAGAUCUAGUCCAAAGAGCUCCAGGAGGGUCUGCAAGAGCAGCGGCAUCACCAGGAAACUUAUCAGAAACGUGCUGCGUGACGGUCUCUGUGCGGACGGGGAGAUCCAGAAGAUGGACGCUGCACUGCUCCGUGCUCCAGCGGAGCCGGACUCCUCUCGCUCUGCAGAUGGCCCGCAGCGUCAGACUCCUCCAACGCCCGCUGUUUUCCCCCAGGAGCCGCCAACACCAUUCUUUCCACUUGUGCAAAAUGCUCUCCCAUGUUU